AUUGAACGCUGGCGGCAGGCCUAACACAUGCAAGUCGAACGGUAACAGGAAGAAGCUUGCUUCUUUGCUGACGAGGGGCGGACGGGUGAGUAAUGUCUAGGAGACUUCCUGAGGGAGGGGGAUAACUACUGGAAACGGUAGCUAAUACCGCAUAACGUCGCAAGACCAAAGAGGGGGACCUUCGGGCCUCUUGCCAUCUGAUGUGCCCAGAUGGGAUUAGCUAGUAGGUGGGGUAACGGCUCACCUAGGCGACGAUCCCUAGCUGGUCUGAGAGGAUGACCAGCCACACUGGAACUGAGACACGGUCCAGACUCCUACGGGAGGCAGCAGUGGGGAAUAUUGCACAAUGGGCGCAAGCCUGAUGCAGCCAUGCCGCGUGUAUGAAGAAGGCCUUCGGGUUGUAAAGUACUUUCAGCGGGGAGGAAGGGAGUAAAGUUAAUACCUUUACUCAUUGACGUUACCCGCAGAAGAAGCACCGGCUAACUCCGUG
rnacentral:rRNA from 1 species